AUUGAACGCUGGCGGCAGGCCUAACACAUGCAAGUCGAGCGGUUGAGGGAAGCUUGCUUCCUGAUUCAGCGGCGGACGGGUGAGUAAUGCCUAGGAAUCUGCCUGGUAGUGGGGGACAACGUUUCGAAAGGAACGCUAAUACCGCAUACGUCCUACGGGAGAAAGCAGGGGACCUUCGGGCCUUGCGCUAUCAGAUGAGCCUAGGUCGGAUUAGCUAGUUGGUGAGGUAAUGGCUCACCAAGGCGACGAUCCGUAACUGGUCUGAGAGGAUGAUCAGUCACACUGGAACUGAGACACGGUCCAGACUCCUACGGGAGGCAGCAGUGGGGAAUAUUGGACAAUGGGCGAAAGCCUGAUCCAGCCAUGCCGCGUGUGUGAAGAAGGUCUUCGGAUUGUAAAGCACUUUAAGUUGGGAGGAAGGGCAGUCAGCGAAUACCUUGCUGUCUUGACGCUACCGACAGAAUAAGCACCGGCUAACUCUGUGCCAGCAGCCGCGGUAAUACAGAGGGUGCAAGCGUUAAUCGGAAUUACUGGGCGUAAAGCGCGCGUAGGUGGUUUGUUAAGUUGAAUGUGAAAUCCCCGGGCUCAACCUGGGAACUGCAUCCAAAACUGGCAAGCUAGAG
rnacentral:rRNA from 1 species